UACAGGGGGAGCAAGCGUUAUCCGGAAUGAUUGGGCGUAAAGCGUCUGUAGGUGGUGUAUGAAGUCUACUGUUAAAUUCCAGGGCUCAACCUUGGCCAGGCAGUAGAGUACUCAUAUGCUAGAGUGUGGGAGAGGUAGAGGGAAUUCCUCGUGGAGCGGUGAAAUGCGUAGAGAUGAGGAGGAACACCAGUGGCGAAAGCGCUCUACUGGACCAAGACUGACACUGAGAGACGAAAGCUAAGGGAGCGAAAAG
rnacentral:rRNA from 1 species